GGGAAUGUGGCUCAGUGGUAGAGCAUCUGCCUUGUAUGCCAGAGGCCCUGGGUUCGAUUACUCAGCACCA
rnacentral:tRNA from 1 species